GACGGGGGGGGCAAGUGUUCUUCGGAAUGACUGGGCGUAAAGCGCACGUAGGCGGCGACGUAAGUUGGGUGUGAAAUCCCUCGGCCCAACCGAGGAACUGCGCCCAGUACUGCGUUGCUUGAGGAUCCAAGGGGUGCAUGGAAUUCCCGGUGGAGCGGUGAAAUGCGUUGAUAUCGGGAGGAACUCCGGCGGCGAAAGCGAUGCACUGGUGGAUUUCUGACGCUGAGGUGCGAAAGCCAGGGGAGCAAACGGG
rnacentral:rRNA from 1 species